rnacentral:rRNA from 1 species
AUGCUAGUCGCACGAGCGCACCCUCGUCCCUGUUGCCAGCAUUCAUUGGGACUCUGGGAGACUGCCGGGGUCAACUCGGAGGAAGGGGGGGAUGACAUCAGUCAUCAUGCCCCUUAUGUCUCGGGCUGCAAACAUGCUACAAUGGGCGGUACAAAGCGCUGCGACAUCGUGAGAUGAAGCGAAUCUCAAAAAGCCGGUCUCAGUUCGGAUCGGGGUCUGCAACCCGGCCCCGUGAAGCCGGAGUCGCUAGUAAUCGCGGAUCAGCAACGCCCCGGUGAAUACGUUCCCGGGCCUUGUAC